CGGGCAGGAGACCAGGGGAGCACGGUGUAGUAGAGCCUGGGACCGGAAGGAGGGACGUCCCGUGGUAGGCGGGUCCUCUUCGUCGAGGCAGGCGGUGCGGCUCCUUGUCAUCGCGGCAGUUGGCGGUGGUUCCUAGGUGACGACUAAAAAGAGGUACACGCUGGAGACGAAGCCGACUAGAGGAAAGGAGACGGGGCGGAUGUCUUAUGUUCUCCAUUCGAAGACCACCCACUCACCAAGGAACAGCGGGGAAGAGACGGGUGGAGGUCUAGACCAGCAAUAUCCAUUCGACCCAAUCACCAAAAAGGUCAUGCACAUCCAUUGAUUAGCCUAGGUCGGUACUUAACCAACCGAAGAAGGUCAUCCAUUUAUUUAGAUACCAACAAGAUCACGCACGAAGUAGAUGUUUAAACGUCGUACAUUGUUAAAGAAUCGGCUCCGUAAUGUUUCCUCUCCCUACGCACAGUAAGAAGACAAUCUUAACAUUAAUGCAAGGGGAAACACUAACCGUAUAAAAUAAAAAGUUAAAGAGGAAAAGAAUAACGCGUCUACGAUCGAAAGUAUCGGAGAACAUCGAUUUAGACUAAUACACACGCGGAUAGUUCAGGGUUUACACUAGACAUACAGGAUUAAUGCAUGUGUAGAUCACUACGUAGAUAACUUCUCUUCGUAAACAGUCAUUGUAUGAUUGUUAGUCAGUUAGAAGUAUGCAUCCACCACUUCCGUUCAUUUCUUAAAUACGGGCAAGAUAAUGUCCUUGUACACUUAUCCACUAUCAGGAGGAUUCGACGAAUUACGAUGUUAAAGAUUACAGUAAUAUUUGUAACCUACGUAGUCUGACAGUAUUAUGGAUCAAAAAGAUAUUUUUACCAUUAUUUAUUCGCGUAUUAUACUACUAUUAUUUAGACCCAAUACCUUCUUUUAACAUAUAAACCAAAGAUGUAAACAUAUACAUAUCGUCGUGGGACUAAUACGUUUAUCAUAGUAUAGGUCUCAUAAUUAGUACCGUCGAUCAUCUUUUACAUGCCAAAUCAAACAUCGGUGUAUGUACACUUAUAAUAAGGUCGUUCUUACGCUCUACGAUCGUAUAUAGAUAGAUAGGGACCAUGAAACGCCUAUCCGGUCGCCGCUCGGAACAAAAAAGAAAAAUCAAAAAGGGAACUACAUAAGAGGAACAACUUGCUUGUCAAAAACCGUAGGACCGUACGGUGGUAACACGACCAACCUAGAACCAAUGGUUAAUUAUAAGUCCCCUACAGAGAGAAAAUUAAAUAACUAAAGGAACAACGCUCCUCUCCCGACGACUACGGCUACUAAAUAUCAAACCUACUACUACUACCACUGAUCGGUGACUACGAGCUCCUACUUCGUCCUACUUGGCUCCAGGAGCUUCGGAUAGGGACUACGACUACCCACCUGGUAACACGGCGGAUCCACACUAGUCAGACCCGUUAUCAUUUAAUUCGUAUACUCUUCGUUUUGAACCACGAUAUACCAGACUUCCAUCUCAACCUUGGGGAGGCCAAGUCGUGGCCCGUACCAGCCAACCUUAACCUAUUCCUGGUGUUUGGGUGGUUCAGCGGGAAAACUAGUUGAUGUUGUUAUUAUUGUUGUUGUUGUUUGUUACACAUCCGUGGGCUGAGGUACCUACUCCUCCUGUUGAUUCUGGGGUUCGGGUUCUGCUGCUGGGACUGGAGUUGAGGGGUUUGUUCCAACACCUAGUCGCGGAGAACUGACCUGUUUACCAUCUGUCAUCGUUCAGGUGUUCAACUGACUUCUACAAGAGCACUGACAAAACAACUCUUGACCCAACUGUGUAAAACAAGUAUACCUUCAACUAAGCCGAACCGCUAACUUCUCAACCAGAAGGCAUAAUAAGACAUCGUUAGGUCACUAGUACGUUAACCAGAGAAUCCUUGAAACCGGUAAAAAAACAUUGUACGGAGAGAACAUAUAGACUAAACACCUAGGAAUUUCCAACAUCGAUGAACUCACUUCAUUUUGUUACUUACAAGAUAUAUACAACUUACUUACGUAAACUAGUUAUCAUAGAAAACUACUUAUGUUCUCA
rnacentral:rRNA from 1 species